GAUGAACGCUAGCGGCAGGCCUAAUACAUGCAAGUCGGACGGGAUUCAGGAGCUUGCUUCUGAUGAGAGUGGCGCACGGGUGCGUAACACGUAUGUAACCUACCUUUAUCAGGGGGAUAGCCUCUCGAAAGAGAGAUUAAGCCCGCAUAAAAUCACAGCACAGCCUUGUGUAAUGAUCAAAUAUUUAUAGGAUAAAGAUGGGCAUGCGGAACAUUAGCUAGAUGGCGGGGUAACGGCCCACCAUGGCGACGAUGUUUAGGGGAUCUGAGAGGAUGGCCCCCCACACGGGGACUGGGACACGGACCAGACUCCUACGGGAGGGAGCAGUAAGGAAUAUAGGUGAAUGGGAGGAAGCCUGAACCAGCCAUGCCGCGUGCAGGAAGACGGCCCUACGGGUUGUAAACUGCUUUUAGACGGGAAUAAACCCAGAUACGUGUAUCUGGCUGAAUGUACUGUAAGAAUAAGGAUCGGCUAACUCCGUG
rnacentral:rRNA from 1 species